rnacentral:rRNA from 1 species
AUUGAACGCUGGCGGCAGGCCUAACACAUGCAAGUCGAGCGGAUGAAGGGAGCUUGCUCCUGGAUUCAGCGGCGGACGGGUGAGUAAUGCCUAGGAAUCUGCCUGGUAGUGGGGGAUAACGUCCGGAAACGGGCGCUAAUACCGCAUACGUCCUGAGGGAGAAAGUGGGGGAUCUUCGGACCUCACGCUAUCAGGUGAGCCUAGGUCGGAUUAGCUAGUUGGUGGGGUAAAGGCCUACCAAGGCGACGAUCCGUAACUGGUCUGAGAGGAUGAUCAGUCACACUGGAACUGAGACACGGUCCAGACUCCUACGGGAGGCAGCAGUGGGGAAUAUUGGACAAUGGGCGAAAGCCUGAUCCAGCCAUGCCGCGUGUGUGAAGAAGGUCUUCGGAUUGUAAAGCACUUUAAGUUGGGAGGAAGAGCAGUAAGUUAAUACCUUGCUGUUUUGACGUUACCAACAGAAUAAGCACCGGCUAACUUCGUG